GGAGGAGGAGGAGGGGUAACAAGGAGGACGAGGAGCGGGGAGCAAGAGGAGGGGCCAGGAAGGGAGCCGGCUGGGUCUGCUCGCCAGUCGCUUCUCACCUCCCAGAGCUCCUGCAGCAGCUUGUCGGAGAGAGCGUCUGCCCCGCGCACCAGCAAGAGAGGCGGAUGAGAGCAGAGUCCGUAAUGCCUGUGUUGGAGACGUCUAGCUCCCGAAGGUGUGGGCAGUAGCGGCCGAUCACCUCCAGCAUCUGUGGGAGGAGCAGGAGAGGUGGAUGGGUGAUGAGAGCCAAUCGCAAUCCGGAUGUUCCCCCAACCAACACACCUGGUCAAUUAUCUGCGUCAUGGACAGGUUGAGGUGCGUAACUUCCGUGAGGCAGGUGGCGAACCGCAGCAUGGCGCCAGGACCCACGUUUCGCAGACUCGUUGCUUCGAAAACCUGGUCGACUUCUGCGUUCGCUUCGCCCGCUUCAUGGGUGACGAGGAGAGGCGGCAAGUAAUCCUUCGAGAGAGCGGGAGAGUUGUAGAAAUUCUAAGUGAAAUUUUUUGAGAGAGGGAGAGAGGGAGAACGAGACGAAGGCACCAAGGAGAGAGAGCGAGAGAGGCGGUCAGUCACUCCGUCAAGGCCUUCGUCAGGAGCUUCCCCACGAGUGACCAUGAGAAUACCUUGCCCGCGCCUGACUCCGCCCCGCACAGGUGUUAAUGAGGUGUGGAGGCAAGGGAUGAGGUGACGCCGUGCCCCUGGUCAUGCUGCACGCCCCCCCACACACACCCAUAAUAGCACCACGCUCCUAUAGUUGCUGCCUCUGCCAUUUUUAGGGUCUAUAGUCUGAAGGUCAAGGGUAUUUAAAGUUUCAAAAGGUUCAAAUUAAGUUCCAAGUUUAAAAAGCUUGUCAGUUGCAGUUUAUAUAGUGUUGUAAGUUUAAGUCUAAAUUCAGGUUUAAUUAAAUCUAAAUUUCAAGUUCAUACCGUCACUUGUUGUAACCGUGCCAAGAUUUUGCUGCUUACAUAUUUACCGUCCCUUGAAAUGUCACGUGUGGCGGCGUGUGGCACCAGGCGGAACAGGUGACAUGCGCAGAGGUGCCUGGUGUUGGAUGUACGCAUGGUCUGUUUGGGUGCCACGUGAGUCUCUGUGUGUUUGCCAUUCGGUGUCACGUAGGUCAGCUUUUCGCACGCGUGUUUCAGUGGGGGAUGUGCAGAGUGGUGCUUCAGGAAUCAUUGGAUCUAGUAGGCUCCAGUCACUAGAAAUAUUGAUACAGCAGGAAGUAGUUAUAGUGUGUUAGUGCUGAAGGAUAAACAGGUGUGACUUGUCAGCUAUAUAUCAGUAGAAAUAUUAGUAAUGCGAGGGAAAUUAUGAGGUCUAAUUGUGUUGUUGGAAGGCUUUUGAUCAUGAAGUUAGUGUUUAAAGACAGAUUGAAAUAAAAACGUGAUUUAUUAUUAUUAUAUCAAUGCUGAAAUGCCAAUAAUAAGAGGAAAUAUCAGUUUGUGUUAGAAGUAUCAGUAAUGAGACAAAUAUGAACAGCUAGAAUUUUGUUAGCUUUGAUGGCAUACUAAUUCAUCACUAGAAAUAUUCAGAACAACAACAUAUCAUUAUAAAAAAAAAAAAGUCAGUGUUAGAGGACAGUGAAGUUUGUUGUGAGUUACCUAUCUCUGCAUAGACACCCAAUGAUAAAAAUUCAGGCACUGGCAAAACAUACUUAUUUGAUGGAACUUAACAAGAGACCGUGCGUGCCUCCAGCGUGGGGUGGCGCGUAUCCCCUGCGCCACAGCACCUCCGGGAACCCACUUAUGCCUGUGAAGAAACCUGGAGGAAGAGAAUCGAAGGAAGGCGACCUGGAAGAGAUGAUGAUGAGGAUUCAGAAAGUAGUAAUAUGACGAAGGAUACCAAAGAAAACGGAGAUGGGAGCCCUAAGAAGAUUGACCGAGGAACAAAAGAAAACGGACACUGCCAAGGGGGGAACUCAAGGAGGCAGGAACGAAGACAAGACGCGUUAAAAGAAAAGAUAAAAAAAACAACGUAGCAGCAGAGAAACGUGUACAAGAAAACAAACCAAAAUAAACUAGUAGAGAAACAACAA